GCUCCAGUGGCCUAGUGGUUAGAACGUCCGCCUCGGAUGCGGGAGGUCGUGGGUUUGAUCCCUGGUCGAGUU